CUACGGGUGGCUCCAGUGGGGAAUAUUGGGCAAUGGGGGAAACCCUGACCCAGCGACGCCGCGUGAGUGAGGAAGGCCCUCGGGUCGUAAAGCUCUGUCAGGAGGGAAGAACGCGUUGGCGGUUAAUACCCGUUGGCGUUGACGGUACCUCCAGAGGAAGCACCGGCUAACUCCGUGCCAGCAGCCGCGGUAAUACGGAGGGUGCGAGCGUUGUUCGGAAUCACUGGGCGUAAAGCGCGUGUAGGCGGGAAUGUAAGUCGGCUGUGAAAGCCCUGGGCUCAACCCAGGAAGUGCACUCGAUACUGCAUACCUUGAGUACGGGAGAGGAGAGCGGAAUUCCUAGUGUAGAGGUGAAAUUCGUAGAUAUUAGGAAGAACACCGGUGGCGAAGGCGGCUCUCUGGCCCGAUACUGACGCUGAGACGCGAAAGCGUGGGGAGCAAACAGGAUUAGAUACCCUAGUAGUC
rnacentral:rRNA from 1 species